GGGCUGCAGUGGGGAAUUUUCCGCAAUGGGCGAAAGCCUGACGGAGCAACGCCGCGUGAGGGAGGAAGGCCUUAGGGUUGUAAACCUCUUUUCUCUGGGAAGAAGAACUGACGGUACCAGAGGAAUAAGCCUCGGCUAACUCCGUGCCAGCAGCCGCGGUAAUACGGGGGAGGCAAGCGUUAUCCGGAAUUAUUGGGCGUAAAGCGUCCGCAGGCGGCCCAGCAAGUCUGUUGUUAAAAAGUGGAGCUUAACUCCAUCCAGGCAAUGGAAACUGCUGGGCUAGAGUGUGGUAGGGGUAGAGGGAAUUCCCGGUGUAGCGGUGAAAUGCGUAGAUAUCGGGAAGAACACCAGUGGCGAAGGCGCUCUGCUGGGCCAUAACUGACGCUCAGGGACGAAAGCUAGGGGAGCGAAAGGGAUUAGAUACCCUGGUAGUC
rnacentral:rRNA from 1 species